rnacentral:snRNA from 2 species
GUGCUCGUUUCAGCAGCACAUAUACUAAAAAUUGGAAUGAUAAAAGAAGAUUAGCAUGGCCCCUGCACAAGGAUGACACGCAAAUUCGUGAAGCAUUCCAUAUUUUU